CUGGCUCAGAUUGAACGCUGGCGGCAGGCUUAACACAUGCAAGUCGAGCGGAGCGAGGGUGCUUGCACCUUAGCUUAGCGGCGGACGGGUGAGUAAUGCUUAGGAAUCUGCCUAUUAGUGGGGGACAACAUUCCGAAAGGAAUGCUAAUACCGCAUACGCCCUACGGGGGAAAGCAGGGGAUCUUCGGACCUUGCGCUAAUAGAUGAGCCUAAGUCGGAUUAGCUAGUUGGUGGGGUAAAGGCCUACCAAGGCGACGAUCUGUAGCGGGUCUGAGAGGAUGAUCCGCCACACUGGGACUGAGACACGGCCCAGACUCCUACGGGAGGCAGCAGUGGGGAAUAUUGGACAAUGGGCGGAAGCCUGAUCCAGCCAUGCCGCGUGUGUGAAGAAGGCCUUUUGGUUGUAAAGCACUUUAAGCGAGGAGGAGGCUACUUAGAUUAAUACUCUAGGAUAGUGGACGUUACUCGCAGAAUAAGCACCGGCUAACUCUGUGCCAGCAGCCGCGGUAAUACAGAGGGUGCGAGCGUUAAUCGGAUUUACUGGGCGUAAAGCGUGCGUAGGCGGCUUUUUAAGUCGGAUGUGAAAUCCCCGAGCUUAACUUGGGAAUUGCAUUCGAUACUGGGAAGCUAGAGUAUGGGAGAGGAUGGUAGAAUUCCAGGUGUAGCGGUGAAAUGCGUAGAGAUCUGGAGGAAUACCGAUGGCGAAGGCAGCCAUCUGGCCUAAUACUGACGCUGAGGUACGAAAGCAUGGGGAGCAAACAGGAUUAGAUACCCUGGUAGUCCAUGCCGUAAACGAUGUCUACUAGCCGUUGGGGCCUUUGAGGCUUUAGUGGC
rnacentral:rRNA from 1 species